rnacentral:rRNA from 1 species
UAGGGAAUAUUGGACAAUGGGGGCAACCCUGAUCCAGCCAUGCCGCGUGAGUGAAGAAGGCCCUCGGGUUGUAAAGCUCUUUUGUCCGGAAAGAAAAGCUUCGGGUUAAUACCCCGGGGUUCUGACGGUACCGGAAGAAUAAGCACCGGCUAACUUCGUGCCAGCAGCCGCGGUAAUACGAAGAGUGCAAGCGUUACUCGGAAUUACUGGGCGUAAGGCGUGCGUAGGUGGUUGUUUAAGUCUGAUGCGAAAGCCCUGGGCUCAACCUGGGAAUGGCAUUGGAAACUGGGCAGCUAGAGUGCGGUAGAGGGUAGUGGAAUUCCUGGUGUAGCAGUGAAAUGCGUAGAGAUCGGGAGGAACAUCUGUGGCGAAGGCGACUGCCUGGACCAGCACUGACACUGAGGCACGAAAGCGUGGGGAG